rnacentral:rRNA from 1 species
UACAGAGGUGGCAAGCGUUGUUCGGAAUUACUGGGCGUAAAGGGCGCGUAGGCGGUCUUGUAAGUCCCGUGUGAAAUCCCUCGGCUCAACUGAGGAAUGGCACGGGAAACUGCUUGGCUUGAGUUCGGGAGAGGGAAGCGGAAUUCCGGGUGUAGCGGUGAAAUGCGUAGAUAUCCGGAGGAACACCGGUGGCGAAGGCGGCUUCCUGGACCGACACUGACGCUGAGGCGCGAAAGCGUGGGGAGCGAACAGG